rnacentral:rRNA from 1 species
CAGUCGCCGCGGUAAUACGUAGGUGGCAAGCGUUGUCCGGAAUUAUUGGGCGUAAAGGGCUCGCAGGCGGUUUCUUAAGUCUGAUGUGAAAGCCCCCGGCUCAACCGGGGAGGGUCAUUGGAAACUGGGAAACUUGAGUGCAGAAGAGGAGAGUGGAAUUCCACGUGUAGCGGUGAAAUGCGUAGGGAUGUGGAGGAACACCAGUGGCGAAGGCGACUCUCUGGUCUGUAACUGACGCUGAGGAGCGAAAGCGUGGGGAGCGAACAGGAUUAGAGACCCCAGUAGUCCAUGUCUCUUAUAC